rnacentral:SRP_RNA from 1 species
GCUGAGCUGGGUUACUCCAGCUUGUGACCCAAGUGGGAGCAUCAAUGUGAUGGAACAACACUCAGACUUGCUGGGUUGGGCUGUGUUUGCAAUAUGCUGGCCUGCCCAUUCCAAGUUGAGAGUUGAGUCUGGUGACCUUGGUGAAGACUAAGGUCUCUUAGCUCUUAGAGUGGAGGGCACAGCGUGAGGCUGGUUUCACAGAGCAGCGACCACCUCCCACUCCCAACAGUGGAGGGAUCACAGGCUGCUGCACUCAUAGCUCAGAAUGGCCUGGUGACUCUAUAAUGCUUGGACCAUCACUUUU